CACACGCCCGCGGGUUCGGAAUACUUCGAGGACGGUCUUCGAGGCAAACCAAGUGCGACGGUCGGCCCGCCGGAGAAGAGGACUACACGGAGGAGCUCGCCAUCGCGCACGUGCGGCGGCUGCUCGACAUCGUCGCCUGCACCACCGUGUUCGCGGCGAAGAAGCCCCAGCCGAAGCCCGAUGUGGCGGAUGCCGCGACCGAGUCCGCCAAAGACGGGUCGCCCUCGCCCGGUUCAAAAGGUUGACUAGUCGAAGUGAAGUUGCUAUUUGUUCAAGAGAUUACAAAUUCUAUUCACCCCGGCAUAAGAUCAGGUGUUCCCCACAGGCAGCAUUUGACAUCCCUGAUACAAGUGCUUUGACAGAGGAUGAGAACUCUUUAUUGGUUUGUUCUUCAGGAUUUCGCUCACCAAACGAGACCACUUAGAAUCUGGGUAGGUAUGCAGGUGCGAGUUUGUAACGAGAAACCGGUGACGAUUGUGGCAUCCCAAGAAGGAUUCAACCCUGCAGGAAAGCGAGCACUCAUCAGCAAAAACAAGAUGAGACCAAUGGGAUGACCAUUUUCCCUUGUAUCAGCUUAAGGAUGCUGCUUCAUAAGUCAUGUGCUCAACCACCUGGAGUUCAACGGUUGCAGACUAGUGAUCCUGAAGACAAUGAGGCUACUCAAACUUUUGUCCGGAAGAUAUUAACAGACAGCCUGCAGAAGCUUGAAAAUGAGGCUCCGAUAGUUCACAGAGUCAUCUACUUAAGCUGACAUGGUAUGUCAAUCGUGCCCUAUAUCUUUUGCACCUUACAUGUGGCCCUUCUCAUCGUAACACCGCUGCAACUUAUAUCAAUGUUGUGAUGAUGGAAGAAGGGUUGGGUAGGGAUGGCAAUGGGUACCCGAAACCCGAAACCCGAUGGGUAAAAACCCUAUUAGGGCACGGGUAUGGCGGAUUUUGAUAUCAAUGGGUAUUUUAUUGGGUCAUUUGUUAUGCCCAUCGGGUAUGGUGGGCGUGGGUAUGUUCUCUGUUGCCCCAUACCCGCUACCCGAUGGGGAACCCGCUAAUAUAUGACACGUGGGUCCAGAUUUAUAUGUCUCAUAUAAAAUGAAUGCUAUGUUUUGUCCACAGUUUUGUAGAAUCAACCGCUAUGUUUUGUGUGAUUUGAAGGCAUGAUAUUGCCAUUUAAUGUUGAAUAUUGUUGAACCUG